CGGCGGCCAUUUUGUUAUUUCGAGCUCCGAUGACAAUCUUAAAAUCCCAUCGGAACCGAGGUCGGAAUCCUAUGAUUUGCUGGCAAAUUACAAAAUCCCUUCGCAGAUGUGGCUCUGCGGUACUGGCGACAAUCCGGCCUGGAAUUGGGAGUUCCGAUUCCUCAUACUCGGCAUCAAGGAAAAACCUUCUCAACUCGUGCAGAUCGGAUAACUGAACAAAACAGUUGUCUCGGAAGAACAACAGCUGCCUCAAUGUUGGUAUUGCAGGGAACCUGAGUGCAGUGCAAUAAUUUUGUAAUACAAAUAGAAAUAAAUUUCGUGUGAAA